GGGGAUGUAGCUCAGUGGUAGAACAUCCACUUUGCAUGUGAAAGGUCCCAGGUUUGACACCGGCAUCUCCA